rnacentral:rRNA from 1 species
CAGCCGCCGCGGGAAUACGUAGGGUGCAAGCGUUAAUCGGAAUUACUGGGCGUAAAGCGUGCGCAGGCGGUUCGUUAAGACAGAUGUGAAAUCCCCGGGCUUAACCUGGGAACUGCAUUUGUGACUGGCGGGCUAGAGUAUGGCAGAGGGGGGUAGAAUUCCACGUGUAGCAGUGAAAUGCGUAGAGAUGUGGAGGAAUACCGAUGGCGAAGGCAGCCCCCUGGGCCAAUACUGACGCUCAUGCACGAAAGCGUGGGGAGCAAACAGGAUUAGAUACCCGCGUAGUCCCUGUCUCUUAUAC